AUUGAACGCUGGCGGCAUGCCUUACACAUGCAAGUCGAACGGUAACGCGGGGCAACCUGGCGACGAGUGGCGAACGGGUGAGUAAUGCAUCGGAACGUGCCCAGUAGUGGGGGAUAGCCCGGCGAAAGCCGGAUUAAUACCGCAUACGACCUAAGGGUGAAAGCGGGGGAUCGUAAGACCUCGCGCUAUUGGAGCGGCCGAUGUCAGAUUAGGUAGUUGGUGGGGUAAAGGCCUACCAAGCCUUCGAUCUGUAGCUGGUCUGAGAGGACGACCAGCCACACUGGGACUGAGACACGGCCCAGACUCCUACGGGAGGCAGUAGUGGGGAAUUUUGGACAAUGGGCGCAAGCCUGAUCCAGCCAUGCCGCGUGCGGGAAGAAGGCCUUCGGGUUGUAAACCGCUUUUGUCAGGGAAGAAACGCUUCGGGUUAAUACCCCGGGGUAAUGACGGUACCUGAAGAAUAAGCACCGGCUAACUACGUGCCAGUCGCCGCCGUAACAC
rnacentral:rRNA from 1 species